rnacentral:rRNA from 1 species
UGCCAGACUCCUACGGGAGGCAGCAGUGGGGAAUAUUGCACAAUGGGGGAAACCCUGAUGCAGCGACGCCGCGUGAGUGAAGAAGUAUUUCGGUAUGUAAAGCUCUAUCAGCAGGAACGAGACAAGACGGUACCUGACUAAGAAGCCCCGGCUAACUACGUGCCAGCAGCCGCGGUAAUACGUAGGGGGCAAGCGUUAUCCGGAAUCACUGGGUGUAAAGGGAGCGUAGACGGCUGAGCAAGCCUGAAGUGAAAGGCGGGGGCCCAACCCCCGGACUGCUCUGGAAACUGUCCGGCUGGAGUGCAGGAGAGGUAAGUGGAAUUCCUAGUGUAGCGGUGAAAUGCGUAGAUAUUAGGAGGAACACCAGUGGCGAAGGCGGCGUACUGGACUGUAACUGACGUUGAGGCUCGAAAGCGUGGGGAGCAAACAGGAUUAGAUACCCGAGUAAAC